AUGGGGUGCAAGUCGUGCCAGAAGCCCAAGGCGCAGCACCGCAAGGGGCUGUGGUCGCCGGAGGAGGACCAGAAGCUCCGUGACUUCAUCGUCCGCUACGGCCACAGCUGCUGGAGCACCGUCCCCGUCAAGGCCGGACUUGAGCGGAACGGCAAGAGCUGCAGGCUGCGGUGGAUCAACUACCUGAGGCCGGGGCUGAAGCACGGCAUGUUCUCCAGGGAGGAAGAAGAGACCGUCAUGAGCCUCCACGCCACACUCGGCAACAAGUGGUCUCAGAUAGCUCAGCACCUACCGGGCCGAACCGACAACGAGGUGAAGAACUACUGGAACUCGUAUCUGAAGAAGCGCGUCGAGGGCGCGCGCUCACCAGCCAAGUCCGCCGGAUCAGACGCGCCCCGGAGCCCGACGCCCAGCGACAGCGCCCGCGAACGCAGCACUGUUAACCAGCCGUCCAUCUCCGGCUCAUCCGGGCCGCUGGAGUCGUCGUCGAUGGCCGACGACUCGAGCAACCUCACAAUCCCCGGCGUUGUAGCCACGAUCCGGCCGCACACGCCCGUGCUCCCCAAGGUCAUGUUCGCGGACUGGCUCGACAUGGACAUGGACAUGGACUACGGCACCGGCCUGAUGGCACCUAGCGCACUGGACGCGGCCUUCGACGGCAGCCCGGCGCAGCUGGGCGUGGGCCACCAGGGGGCCGUGCAGGUGGAUGGCAUGUGCGGCGCCGUGGACUCGUUGCAUGGGCUCGGCAACGGGGGCAUCUGUUGGGAGUUCGACGCCGGUCAGAUCCACAUGCAAGGAGGAGGAGAAUUCUGCGACCUGCUCUCUGUGAGCGAGUUCCUCGGGAUCAACUAG
rnacentral:rRNA from 1 species